rnacentral:rRNA from 1 species
CCUACGGGUGGCAGCAGUGGGGAAUAUUGCGCAAUGGGCGAAAGCCUGACGCAGCGACGCCGCGUGAGGGAUGAAGGUCUUCGGAUCGUAAACCUCUGUCAGCAGGGAAGAACGGUCACGGUGCUAAUCAGCAGUGAAUUGACGGUACCUGCAAGGGAAGCACCGGCUAACUCCGUGCCAGCAGCCGCGGUAAGACGGAGGGGGCGAGCGUUAAUCGGAAUUACUGGGCGUAAAGCGCUCGUAGUCGGUAUGUCAAGUCAAGGGUGAAAGCCCCGCGCUCAACGUGGGAACUGCCUUUGAAACUGGCAAACUGGAGUGUGUGAGAGGAUAGUGGAAUUCCAGGUGUAGGAGUGAAAUCCGUAGAUAUCUGGAGGAACAUCAGUGGCGAAGGCGACUAUCUGGCACAUAACUGACGCUGAGGAGCGAAAGUGUGGGUAGCAAACAGGAUUAGAUACCCGGGUAGUC